rnacentral:rRNA from 1 species
CGACCGGCGCACGGGUGCGUAACGCGUAUGCAACCUACCUUUAACAGGGGCAUAACACUGAGAAAUUGGUACUAAUACCCCAUAAUAUCAUAGAAGGCAUCUUUUAUGGUUGAAAAUUCCGAUGGUUAGAGAUGGGCAUGCGUUGUAUUAGCUAGUUGGUGGGGUAACGGCUCACCAAGGCGACGAUACAUAGGGGGACUGAGAGGUUAACCCCCCACACUGGUACUGAGACACGGACCAG